rnacentral:lncRNA from 1 species
GUUUAUGUGGCAUCACACUGAAAACAAAGAUGUGAUCCCCAAAGGAUUACAACAAGUACCUAAAAAUUUUGAAAUAUACAAAAACAGAACAACAUUACCUAAAUCCAAACCCUAAAUGGUCAUAAUUUCAACAGAAGGUGGCCGAUUUUUCACAAAGUUGCUUGUUAUGCAACUUGGAACAACUGAAAUCGACACCAGCUCCAGCUACCUAGAAGUUAGAAACCCUAAUUCGAAGUUACAGCUAGGAAUGAAUUUUUUUUAAAAAAGUAAUCUUUAGUCUGCAAGAAUGCAAGAAAGUAUAGUUUCAGAUAAUAAUAAUAAUAAUAAACUAUCACCUCCAUAAACACAACAUUCAAACUAUAAAGAUUCCUUUCUCAUAGCCCUAAAUAAACCCCAUCAACAUACAAAACUCAAAAUCCAGAUUCAAAUGUGAGAAUUUAAAAACUCACCAGCAAGAAUUUCUUGAAACCCCCCAAAACAACAGUCACCAGCAAGAAACUGGAGAAAAAUCAGAGAGUUCUCUGAAACCCCUUCACUUUAUCUAUUUAUAUAUGAACCAAAGAGCUGUGAAAAUGAUUGAACGGUGCUCCAAUGUCAAGCAUCAAGGGAACCAUCAAGAGAGAUUUUACAGAAUGGAAUGAUGAGACCAUAUAUAAUAUUUCAAGAAAGAACCAACUGACAAAAAAGUUAGAAGGGGGGGAGAGAGGUAAUAUGGGUUUUGGCUCACUGGGUGUGUCUAAGCAAUGCUUUUGAUUUUUAUGAGUGUGGGUCUGAGAGUUCCAUGUAUUUGCCUCUGUAAAAAAUAUUCUCUAUUCUCUCACACACACUAUCACACAGACACAGACACAGACACAGACACAGACACAAUUGAGUGGUGAUCAAAGGAGAGAUAGGGAGAGAGACAGGCAUGCACUGUACUGGCUUCUCUUUCAAUCUUGUUUUUGCUUUAUUAGCUGUUUUUUAAAUGUUUCUGUUGCUUUUUUCUUUGGCUUUUGAUUCUUUAUUGGGCUAUCGUUUCAAUUAAGGUUCUUUUAAAUGACUGAAACCUCCUCGGGUAAUACAUUAAAUAACAGUGGGGUUGGAUAAAGUUGGAUGAUGGAUUGCAGUUUAGACCGUGUUUGGAAAAUGAUAUUUGAUUUUAAAAGAAAGUUGAGCUAGAGUGAUGGAUGAAUGAAAGGAUAUGGUGGGACUAGGCUUCGAAUAACUGGUACUCCAAACACAGGCCUACAUUCCAAUGCGUAUGGUUGGGUGGUUCAAAAGAAAAAAGAUUUAGUCGUGAGUAGGUUUAGAUAUUGAUUUGGUAACAACCAAUUACAACUAAACUCAGAGAUUACCUUAUUCAUAAUCAUAAGAUGACCCAAACUUCAUGAGCAGUAGCCAAAAAUUUGUUAAAGGUGCCAACAACCCAACGAAAAAAAUUAGAUUUGACAUAUAGGAGUAGGAAUUUCAGGAAGCGCAAUUACUAGGUAUUCUUUUAUAGGGAGGGAAAAAUGCUGAUGAUGAGUGAAGUUAUAUAGUUUUUGAAAUGCUAAAGAACUGGUGCUGGUGUGACAUGUUGAGCAGGCGUUUGCAUAAUUGAAUUGAUUUAAGUGGCACAAAUUUACAUAACAGACAUAGUGUGUGUGUGUGUGUAUAUAUAUAUAUAUAUAGAGAGAGAGAGAGAGAUCAGCAAAGUAUAAAAUCAAGCAAUUCUGAAUAUAAUUUUGACUAGCUGCUACUUAACUUUUUCUUUUGUGAAUCAUUCAAAGCAACUAUGCAGAAUGGGUUCCUUGCUGUACAAGUGCAAUAAUAGAGAGCUUGCAAAUGAUGAUAGAGUGGGAAAAAGAGAGCACGUUUUGAUCAUUAAUGGGUAGGGGGGGCUAACCAAAUUAGAGAAAAUAAAGCCAAAGCUGGGGACUUGCUGUUAUAUUGGUCCACCACCUACACCUAGCCCCUUCAUAUGAUCUAAUGAUCUAUCCUUCUCCCAACUCCUCGUGUGGGGACGAAAAGCACCUUUCCCACGUGCAAGCUUACCCAAUAUCAUAUGGAGUGAUUUAAAUACAUAAAUUUUAGCUAUAACUUAUUUAAUUCACAAAUACAAUAUUUUUAAUUGUUAGAACAUGGCACAAUUAAUAUAAGAAUAUUUUGUGGCAAGAAGACAUUCAGACAUAGAAACUGUUUCUUUCUGUCUGAACAGUUUUUUGAAUUUUCUAGUCAUCGUUUGAAAUAAAAUACAACAAUUUUUUUUUUUGUAGAAGUGAUGAAAUUUUUGUUAAUUACUAGUUAUUCGUAUUAUAUUGGUUAUUAAUUCUGGCAGCACCAGUGGUGAUAAGAAUAGUUGGAUAGAAGCCAAGCCCCAACUGCAAGUUACCAGCAUUAGCGCAUUUAAUAAGAAAUAAUUUUAUGCAUAGCAUAGCCAUACAAUUUUAUUUUUUUUUAAAUGGUCAUGCGAACUUUUCAUCAGGAUGCUUUCUAAUUGACUAGUACAUAUCCAUAGUGACUUCCCUAAGCAUGAACUACUUUUAAUUAAAUAAAUAAAUAAAAAUCAGCCAAAAAUAGGCUUCAUCACCGUCUAAGAAGCAGGUUUAAAAACCAGAGGUACAAUCUACUGAAUAAAACAAGUCGCACAAAUUCUUGCAGCUAAACAGCCUCCAGCUUGGUGAUGAAACUCCGCAGGUAUUUUAACUGGCACAGAACAGACAACUGUAACCUACUGUCGAUAGUAGUUAGUACCACGAGGUUCACUUUCAUAAUCUUAUCAAAUAAGUGUUCCCGGAUUAGGACGCCUGCUCCCCCAAUGACAGUUUGUGCACUAAAUUUCCUUUGCUUCUUCAAGGUAUAAACUUGAUCAAAGGUUCAGUAAAGUCGACCUUUGCAGUUGGGAGCUCCACAAUGGCAUGGGCAUCCUUCUCCAGGAAGAAGCUUGUAAUGAUAAUCAUAUGUCAGCUCUUCAUCAAUUGCUAUCUGCUCAUAAUAUGUAAGACAAAGGAUACAUGAGAAUAGACGGGAAAGGGUUUAAGUUCGACAUUCUCUAAUAGAAAGGUGAAAGAAAUCAAUGCUUGUGUUAUUUUUUUGUCAUCAGAAAGAGAAAUGGCAGAAAAAUUACUAUCAGAAAUACAUAGGAUCAAAGCACGUGAAUAAGCAAUCAGGAUCCACUUCAUAAAUGGUCAUAUACCAAAUUGAUCUUCAGCGUUCCACAACACAUAAAAACCUUUCCAACCUCAAUCAUAAAAGCACUGCAUCUUAGAAUUUAUAUUAAUAUUCACAUCCACCAUUCUGCGUCUUUUAGCAUAUGGAUUGAUAAAUGAUUAGGGAAACAGGGAACAAGUUUUCUUACAUCUUGACCGGCAUAGAGACCAAUGUGCGGAAGCUGACAAUCCAUGCUUUCCACGAGAACUUGGUGAUUAAUGAGAUUCGGCAAGCAGCUACAAGUAUCAUUAUAUAAAAAGAGUGAAUUUCAAGCUCUCAUUAUGGUGAGGGAAAAUUAGAAUAGAAUUGGAUCAACUAACAGAACAAAUGUGUCCUUUUCACUAUAUUCCUCCUUUUCUGGAUAAAGCUACACUACCCUUUUUAUACAAGUAGGCUCCAAAUCAUUAGAUACCAAGUCUAUUUCAGACAUGUGAUAAAUUAUAAAUUUAAAAGAAAAAAAGAAAUAAAAAAUAAGACCUUUUCACACAACUAAAAAUUCUCCAAUCUAUAAUUAAGAGAACCAAGAGGUGCAUACAUCAAAAUCUAAAACCAGAGUACCAGUCAAACAACUAAUACCAAUUUAUUGCACAGCUGUAAAAUGAUUUGACAUUACAAUUAAAAAUUCACAACUGCACGGAAUAAAGACGCAAUGAGGGAGAAUGUGUGGGAAACACAAGACUGGUGAUAAUUAUUAUAGACUUGGUUUCACACCGCAACUUUAAACACAAGUAAAAAACAACUUGAAGUAUGCCUCAAUGCUACAACCACCAAACCUAGACCUACUUAUGUGUGCACACCUAUAUAACUGUCAUGACCGUCCAUGUAGCAUGCUCAUUUGAAAAGUAGAACCUUGCAAUGAAAUUUCCAGGUUCUAUUGAUUAAAAGAAAGGAUAUGGAAUUAACAAUAAAAUAGUUAGACAAAGUCAAGUGGAUCCUAAUUAUUGAGGAUUUAAUUAUAUAGAAUUGAUAAUUAAUUAAUUAAUUAAUUUUUAAUGAUAAGUUAUAUAGUGAGGGCAACAUUGGUAAAGUUUGAGGACAUUUACAAAGAACUAGACAGUGUCUAGCAAAAACAGAAGAAAAAAAUAUGAACAGGGAGGCACAGAUAUAGGUGGAUAAGGGAGAUGGAGUAGACCUCAGCAAAUGAAGUUGCAUGGGAGCAUUGCAGUCACCCAUGAUUACAAUAGUUAGGGUGGAGGAAAUGUGGACGUAGACAAUCAAGGUUUCAAAAUCUUGAGUAACCCAUGCAACAGGGGAAAGUUUGGGUUGCAAAUAAUUUAAGGAGAUGAGAUAACAAAGCUACUAACUUGAAGAAGAAACUGAAAUACUAAUUUUAUGGUUCCAACUGUUAACUGUCUCAAACAUGCGACAUAUUAAGGAUAAGAAACCUACAAUCCUGCUAUGCAACUCACUCCAUAAUAUCCCAUGAAUGUAUGCAGUUAGCCAGUUACAAUUUUUCUUUUUUCCUGAUUUUUUAUUCGAAUGAGGUGCACAAGCCAGGGAUAAUCAAAUCCUAAAGAUAACUUCAACUCAAAUAACUGAUGGUGGAAAAAUUUAUCUACUUUCCCAACCACCUGCCCUGCCGUCCCACCCCCAAGUGGGGCAAAAGUACUAUGGACUCCCAAGCUUCUUAUAUAGUUCUUCCAGAGAAUAUUACUCCCUUCGUUCCAAAGCUAGAGAUACAAUUUGACUUUUGUGGUCAAAUGACGACAUAUUAAAUUUCAAAUUAAUGUGAAUUUAUUUAAUUUUAGUUGAUUAUUAUGAUUGUAUAGUACUCCCUCCGUCCCAGGAUAAAAGUCCUGGUGGACUUUUCACGCAUAUUAAGAAGAGGAAUAAAAUGACAAAAUUGUCCAUAAUAAUGUCAUUAAAUAUGAAGAGAGAAUUAGAAUAAGAAAAGUAUGAGAUAUUUAAUGCUACGGGCAUAAUAGGAAAAAAUGUGUAAAAAUUUGGUUAUUAAAGGAAAGUGGACAUUUAACAUGGGACUACCCAAAAUAGUAAUAAGGACUUUUAUCCUGGAACGGAGGGAAUAUAUAACAAAAACUAAUAUUCACAAAAUUCAUUUUAUUCUAAACUUUUAUUAGUCAUACUUUUGUUUGUGGCAUCCGGCUUGUAAGUUGCUUUACAGAACCGUCUAUUACAACACUCCUGUCAUCGCCAGCGGAAGACGGUCCCCGUAUGUCCGGAUUUCAAAAAAGAGCAAUCUGCUGUAUUCUUAACUCAUGCCUGACCCGAGCCCAAAGAAAGAAAUGGGGGUCAACCUCUUUCCCUCCAGAAUAUAAAGUAACAAACAAGACCAAAACCCCAUGUGGACUAUGAACCAACAAAAAGAAAAAUACCUUUGAGCCAUCUUCCUUCCUUUUGUCACAUGCCUAACCAGACCAGAUGGCUACAACUGUUGGGCAUACUCCACAAUAAGGUAUUGAUCACUUUCGUACUCAGCUCUAUAGCCAUAUAUUUAACCGCCUUCUUAGGGCUAAAGUGAAUUUAUUUAAUUUUAGUUGAUACAAUUAUUAUAAUUAUAUAUUAUAUUUACAAAAUUUAUUUUAUUCUAAACUUUUAUUAGUCAUACCAAUUUUGAAAUUUAAUAUGACGUCAUUUGAGGUCAAAAGUCAAAUUGUUUUGGAACAGAGGGAGUAUGAUAUUGGCGUCCUAACUAUUCUGAUUUCUGGGUGAAAGUUCUCCCAUUUGAUGGGUAAGCAUACUAUAAUAAUUACUCAGGCUACAAAAAUGGAAUUCUGCAGCAUAAAAUCCAAAAAUGUUGAUUGAGAAAAAUCUUCUUUCACCUGUGAUUAAUGUAUCGUGAAACAUUUCCAUAAUUUGUGGCAUCAAUUACAUAUGGGACAUGCUCCUCAAUUAAUCUGCUCAUGUCAUUACUGUGAGCAUCAAUCUCAUAGAAAUAGCUGCAAACUUCUCCACCAUACCUGAUAGUCCAAAAUAAUUCAAAAUCCAAUGAGAAUAAAUAAUCACUAAAAUAAAUGUGAUAUAAUUUGAACAAGUUCGGACAGACAGAAUUUCAAACCUAUUGCGCCUCUUGGUUGCUUCCUGCUCAUCUAUAACCUCUCCUAUAUACUCACAUACAAAUGUACCAUGCAGAAUCGGUUCACCUGCCCUGACUGCCCAACCCUGCAAGUCAAUACGGCAAGAAUGAAAAAUAAUAUGCUUUAGAAUCACAUAUUAUUAUUUUUUUGACAAGUUUUAAAAUCCUUAACAUUAUUUUUUGACAAGUUUUAGAAUCAUAAAUAAAUGAACACUGUUACCUUUUCCUCAGUUUUGAAGACUUCCAAUUUCACUCGUACCCCAUUCUGCAAAACUCUGUUCUGACAGGAUCUACUGCAGUUGCACUUCUCAUUGCAUUCAUAGACUAGGUAACCCUCCUGCCCGAUCAAUACCAGUUCAGGUAAAUGAUAGAAGGUUUAUGAUAAAGAACAAGCAUUAUAAAUAGAUAACAACUAACAAGAAUCCAAAUAUGACGUUUCUGCCACAGCGGACAGGAAAUUUUCAGUCUUCAAAUAUGGAAGGAUCUAAGCUUUUGAUUUCUGGGUCAAUGACAUGCUAGAUAUAAUUCAAUCACAUGCUUUCCAGGAAAUCAAUCUAGAGAGGAUUCGGAUAUACCCAUCAAUUACCAGACCAAGUGAGUGCUCCGAUUACGUUUGAUGUAAUAAAACAAACGGAUAAUCAAUACCUUUACUAAAUGAUUUCAACCAGGUGGUAAUGAAAGAGGUAGUUAAUUAUUGCAUCAGAUGAACCCAUUUUUGUUGCAUGACUGCCUUGCACAAAAUAAAAAUAACCUUCUGGCAGAACAUGACUGCCUUGCACAAAAUAAAAAUAACCUUCAAUUGGUUAUGAACAUAGAAGAUAAAAACUAAGAAUCUGGUCUGUAUAGCAUUUCAAUUAUUUUAGUAACUAAAAUAAAACAUAUAUCAAGCGGCAAGCCUAGGGGAGGCCAUUUCCCCACUGAAGUUUAAAUUUUGAUCAACACUACAGGGAUAUAACACGAAUUUUGCAAUAACUAAUCCAUAUACUCCCUGUUAUUGGAAAUUUUGAGUUUCUAAUUAAGUUGCCCCCCAGUGUAAAAUAAAAGUUAGAAGAUGUUACUGUUACCCAUGUGAUAAGAUACAAAGUACUGGUUACACAUUUGCUAAACAAUGAUUUUUUUUUUCUUUUUUACUCUUAACUUUUUCUUCUAAUCAAUACAUGUGUGUGUGUGUCUUAAAAUCAGACAAUUAAUUACAUCAACUAGAGCAUUUAACUUUUUGCUACACUUAGCUUUUUAAUUUAAGUAAUAUAAAAAAUUCUCAUUGUUAUUUAAGUAAUAUAAUUAAUUUAACACUUGGUAGUCUAUAUUUUAAUUUUACAAAAUAUACACUGAAAAAUUAUGGAUGUGUUCUAAAAUGAGGUAUAAUUAGUGAUUCCCAACUUAUUUAGAGCUUCUGACAUUAAUGAUCAAACAUAUUUUUUGAUCAAGUGCCUAGCUUCUUGUUAUUUUUACCUUUGGGCCAUGGCAAGAAAAUGUUUGAGGUCCUCUCUUAUAUGUAUGAAUAAGUAAUGUAAUACUCCGUCCAAAAAAAAAGGCCUACUAUUUUGUUGACUUUUGUUAUUAAAAAAAAUAUUAAGGUUUGUAGAGUACACUCUUAGACAACUUUUUCCGAUAAUAAAUUUAAGUCGUCAAAGUGUGAUAUUGAAAAAAACCAUUAAAGUUGUCUAAGUGUGUAUAUACAAGCCUUAAUAUUCAUAAAAUAAAAUAAAAACAAAAAAAGUAGACUCUUUCCUGGACGGAGAGAACAUUUAUUAUCUUCUAUUAACACACUUACAUUUGAAUAUUUUUAUUUGCUUCAAUCCUACUCAUAAAAGAAUAUCAUAAUUCCUUUGGAUCGUGACUAUGACCAAGUAUUUAUACACAAAUAAAAGUAAGGAUAUUUACAACAACUAUGGUUGAAACUAAUCAGUGAUACUGAUUAUGUUUUUAGCCCUUUUUAUAGUGUCCCUCUCCGGGUUUUUCCUUUUCUCUUUACUCCUUACUCUUGAUUUGCUAUUCCUCAUUAUCUGUGGAAUUCAUUUUCAGCCUACCCCAAGCUAGUUGGGAUAAAAAGGUUUUGUUGAGUUGAAUUGAUUAUGGUUAAAAAAAACUAGUCUAUUAGGUGAAGCCAAUCAACCUAGGAAAAAAUCCUUACAUCCUGUGUGUCAACUCCACUAUCAAAUGGCUUAACCUAAGUCAACUUCUUUGUACUCCAGUUUAAUUGCUAGAAAGUAAAACAAUUAAAGUCGGCGGUAAGUGUUGUCGAGAAAGAGAGCUGGUCACGGGGGAAAGUACCAUCAAAAUGUUGAUAAAGCAAGAAGUCUGAUUCGCUUUUAUAUAUGUACAGGAAUUUCUUGUUUCAUUAAAUAAAGAGUAGCACUAUCAUUUCCACAAAAUAUGAUGAUGGAAAAAGUAGGCUACAACAACAUUAUUAAAGUUGUUGUCUUAUAUUAGUAAACUAAACACAUUAUCAAAGUAUCUUUACCUCCAAAAUGAUUCGGCCUUUCUCAUCAUAAGGGAACCUGCCAUUCAUGGGUUUUCCAUAUAUGUCCUUUGCAUCUUCGUAGUCAUUAUCAAAAAGGUACACAUGAUCACAGGUUCCAGAGGAGCAUGUUGAAUGUGCACAAGCACAUCCCAACUGCAAACUCUGCAACUAAAAUAAAAUAAUCAAUACAUAAAAUAUCAAAAAAGUAAACAUUAAUUAAUAAUCCACAGGAAAUUAGACUCUAAAAGGCAGAAACUAACCAAAUUAACAAUUUAAAAUCAAAGUAAUACAUAUACAUGGUUUUCAAAUAGAUUUACUGAAAUAAAACUGUUAUCCGGUCUAAUAAAGUCAACUUUAUCCCAAGGAGGGAGAAAAAGAAGGGUCCCAAUUCAAGUGCUAGUGGUCAGGUGAUGUGGACAUAAACAGAUGCAUUCUCCAUUAAAUAAGAACUUAAAUAUCCAACUCAUGAUACAAAUACAUAAAUACUUGAAUAGUACCAGGCUGCUUGAAGGUACCUCUGCUUCAACACCAAGGGUUUGAUAAAGCAAUGGUUUCAUUACAUAUGUAAAUCCCUCCCAAGGCAUAGAGUAUGCAAUAGUUAGACUAUCAGAACCAUCGUCAAGGACAGGAAGAGAACCCAAUAGAUUUUCAUCCACUACACAGGCAAUUGAAACUGAUUCUUGUCCAAAGCUUAUGUCGUCACACAAGAUAAUGGUUCUCAGUAUAGGUUCUUGUCUGAAGUGCCGCGAAUCAACGACAUAAUGGCAUUCAUCCAUUUCCCACUCAACAAUCAUAGCAUCCGGAGAGAGUGUAGAUAUGGGUCUCACUACAUCUGACUGGGGAAAUAAUGGAGAGACCUGAGGCUGAUCUGUGAUUCGUUUACAUCCUUUAGGACAACUAAACCCCUCUUGAUGCCAAUCGACUAGAAUAUUAUGUUCACUGCAAAGUUUGGCUGCCUUCAGGUACAAACGUUCAGGCAAGAUUCCAUAUUUCUCCUCCAGCAAGGCCUGAAGGCUUACUUUACAACAAGCACAUCGAGCUAGUGACAAAACCUCGAAGUUACUAGGCCGUGGUUUUGUUUUUGUAAUCUCGGAGAACAGAAUCCUUGCCACAGCUGAGCAUUGAGAUUCUGUCAACCUACCUAGACUGUCUGCCUCAGCUACAUGAGAUUGCACUUUUAGUUCCUCAUUGCUAAUUGAACUGGAUAACUGGAUGCUUUUCUUUAUACCUGCAACAACCCUGUUCCGUACCUUAUAUGAAGCUGCUCCCAAACCUUUUUUAAAUCUAGAACGGUUAAGUCUCCCUGAUUUUAGUUUAUAAGCAUAAAAUCGAGUGCCUCUCUUUGGAAGGCGAGGACCAACUGGAUUUGCCCCCAUAUGAGCAGCUUGAUGAUGGCGACCAAGAUCAGGUAGCAAAUCAAAUUUAAAGCCACAAAACUUGCAUAUGAACUUUCGUAAACCACCUUGAUUCUCAUAGUUAACAUUCUCCACACCUGAUUUGCCAGGCUCGAGUUUGUGAGAAGAAUCUUUACCAAAAGAUAUCAGCUUAUUCUGUUGAGCAGCGCUAGGCAGACUGAAAGUAGAAGGAUGAACUGAGAGUACAUGUGACCAUAAUUGUUCAAUAUUCCCAAAAUGGAUUCCACAAGGAAUGCACUGGAGUAGCAUACACUGUUCAACAAAUUUUGCAUGGUGUCUCUCCUGCACAUGUGAUUCAAGUACUUUCUUGUUAGUAAAAUCAUCCAGGCAGAUGGCACACGCAUAACCUCUGAAAAGCCAUUGUGCUUCCUUUCUAUGAGUGUUCAUCCAGUGUUCGCCAAGUGAUUGGUCAUCACAGAAAUUUUGUGAGCAAAUUUUGCACUUAAUCACUUCUUCAUUGUCAUAGUCAAUUGCAUUAGCUAUAGGGAUCUGAAACUGUUCUACAGAAGAAAAAUUUUGGGUUUCUUUGUCAGCGGUGAAGCCCCAAAUCCUUUUAAGUCUCUCUUUUUCACUAAAAACCAACUUCAUCAGGAAUUCUCCGACACUAUCAUUUUUAGAAGCUUCAGAUAUAGCCCAUUGGAGUUGAAUUUCCUUAGGAACUGGGUUUCUGAGGGAAAGGAUACUUUUGAAUAGCCUGUAGAACAGUUCACAUGCUUGGUGUAAAUGCAACUUUUGCUCGCGUGAGUAACAAACUCUCAGAAGAUCCAUAAACACUUCCUUAGAAAUUAUCCUACUCUUACCAUUCCUGGCACGUUUAAGCCAGCUUGGUAGGUGUUUUUCACAGUAUAACGAAUGUCGCUUGGGACUUUCCAGACAAGGGUCACUGGCUUCCUGGGAACAGGAACCAAUGCAAUGCAGCAUUUUAGUGCCAUUAUCCUCUUUCCUCAACUGCUCAGGCAUCACAGUUAAACUUCUUUCAUUGAAGCCUUCUCGACCCAUGACUGAGAUUGGAUCUACUUGAAGAGGAAUUUCAGCUUCUCCAAACAGUACAAUAUCUUUGCAGUUAGUAGUCUCCAAUCUGCGUAUACUCUCCUCAUGCUUUCUCUUAAGUUUGUUAUCGGGUGAAUUCAACAUCAACCUUUGAUCAUUUUGGGGUCGGUGUUUCUUGCAAAAAGAAGUACUAAUUAGAGCACGAUGCUUGCAUUUAGUACCAAGAACAGUGGUACCUUCGCACAUCUGGGCAUCAGAAGUAGAUGCUUGUACUUUUGCGGAGUUGCCAACAAAGCGGGAGGCCAAAUGCACACAACAGUAAACAUCACCAUCAUUAGCCCACCUCACACAUUGCCUUCCCUUGGAUUCAAUAAAAGCUAUGCACUGCCGAUUCUUACUCCCAGAAUCCAAGGAUUUUGUAUCCCCUCCAUUUAUAGGAGUAAUGACUAAAUCUUUGGUCGUCUGAAUGACCUCAGGAGUUCCAGCUUCAAUCACAAUCUCGCGCCAUUUAUCAGCUUCAUUGCCAGUGGAGUCUGACUGAACAGCUCCCUCCAGAGAAACUUCAGCUCUACAAAGCUUGACGUCUGAAGUAGCAGCAUCAAAAAAUUCAGAGUCAGUCUCCACAUUAAUAGACUGAUGUGAACACUGGGUUCCAACCUGUAAGGUAUGUGCCUCAGCACGACGAACUACUAGCUUGGGCCUCUUCCUGCUUAUCUGAAGCUCCACUGCUGAAGGACUAUCAUUACAUUGCUGUUCCAUAUCUCCAUUAUUGGCUAUGGGAUGUGACAUUGAAAACGAUUUCAUAACCUCCUGUUUCCAGGUCUUCCAAUCAGAGUUUAACUCCAGCUGUGCAUCUCCAUUAAAGAGCAAGUGUACUUCGUUCCACAUAAUAGAAUCAACUAACUCCUGAAUUAGAAGAAAAAUAUCAUUAGCUAGUGACGGGGAUCACAGGAUUCAAUUCAAAAGCAUAAGGGUCAAUUCAUUGUCACAGGUAUGAUGCACAGGAUAUAUAGCAUCGUCAUCUUUUCUCUCUUUAGGAACACAGGAAAAUCAUCAGCCCAAUUAACAAAAUUCAAGUAUUAUAUUAUUAAAAAACUAGUAUCCCUGUUCUUCUAAGACAGACCUCCAAGAUUUAGCUACUCAGCAAUAUAAUCAAAAAGGAAUGAAAUAAAGCAUGGAGAUUUCAAAGUAAUUGUGGCCAGACUGCUUCUAGCAGUGGCCACGUCUCAAACAGAGUGACAAAUAAUAUAUAUCUCCCACCCUCCAUGACAUAAGUACCAAAAAAAUGCCUCUAAAAGAAUGACUUAAGUAUAUCAUUUUGUAUUACAAAGACAAUAGUACCCUCAAGUAAGUGGGGCCCAUCACAUCACAUUCUCCUCUAAACUAUGUGGGGUGCCUAUUAUUUUAUAUCUAAACAUCACCGUUUAGUACUUAAGCGAAGCCAUUAUAUUGUAUUUGAAGGGUAAAUUUGGAAUAUACAUUUUAUUCUUUCCUCAAAACUAGUUUUGCUAACAUGAAUGAAAAUUGUACUUGUGUCAUCCUUCAGUUGAUGGAGGUAGUAUAUAUUUCUAGAUAAAAGAAGUUUUAUUAUAUAGAAAAGUGAGCACAGAGAGGGAGGACAAGGAGACCUCCAAAGAACUUGAUUAAGGCACCACUUGUUAAUGCUUUCAUAAACUAUUUUGAGAAACAAUAAAAGUAACUUCUUCAUCUUUCCCUUCUGCAUUUUGCAACGGAGAGAAAUGAGUAUAAGAACAAAACUACAAUGAAAUAAAUGCAAUAAAGUUAUUUAAUCACCAAGGCAAUGCACCUCUGGUUUCAAUGGAAACGAAUAGAGAACAAAAUGAAGGGCAACUAUAGAUGGUCAGGCAUUCAGCUCGAACUACUUAUUGUCAGUUAGAAACCCAAUAUUCCAACACUAAAGGUUGUAGUAGCCCUAGUAAACUGUAUUUCAACCCAACUGCUGUAAACCAGGAUUAAGUUUGAUCAUGUUCAAUUUGCUGUUCAGUUAGACAGAAAUAAUUAAAUUCUAAGCACAUCUGGCUGCUCUUUUGCUGCAAUAUCCACAGACCAAAUUCAUAUAUUUUUGUGAUCAUAUUUAAAAUAAGUGAUCAGUUGUCUUUAAAAAAUAUAAUAUGUGUAUAUAUAUGAGGUUGAUAAGAGGAGAAGGAUUAAUAGAAAUCAAGUUAUCUAUACAUAAUUAAAAUGCUUAGAAAAUAAAAUAAGUAGCAUCGUCAAGAACCCAGUUCAAAGUUCCCUAUAUGGCAUGUCCAAUGUGAGAAUAUUAUUGUACUUCAACAUGGACCCAAGACAGGAAAAAGAUGCCAAAGGCCUUGUAACACAAGUAAACCCAACCAUAAAUUAAGAUUUGAUAUUACCACACAUACCAAGAAACUAAAGUUAAAAGGCCCACCCCGUUGGGCAGAGUUGUAUCUUCCCAGGUGUAGUUCGAUGGAGACAACGGCAGACUGAAGUCAAUAAAACGAAGUGGUGGUGUUGAUAGGAUAGUGGUGAAGGUGAGACAUUCCUAGUGUUAGCAGGGUGAUAAUUGGCACUGAUGGUGUAGUUAACUUUGUUUCACUAUAAAAAUAACUUUUUCCCCCAAGUACAGUAAAUAUUCAAACAGUGAGUUUCAACCCAACAGUUUCUGCACACAAGGAGCAGAAAGCAUUAAAAUAAUAAUUAAUUACAAUGGGCCGGUUAGUUUCAGCUUAUUAUCUUUCUUAUUGCAAAUUUUGGUAGUUUGUUUCAGCUUAUUUGGGUAUAAAAAACAAUGUAAGAAUAGCGGAAAAGCAAUAAUCUGGCCAGGGCAACUUUUUGGAUUAUUUAAAAGCUACUUAUCUGAGUUCAUAUAUUUUGGACUGUUCUAUUCGCAUACUAUAGUAAAGCCAAAAGUAACCAUAAAUAUUAUUAAAGUCAUCAUUUUCCACAAAAUUAAAACAAUUCUAGAAGUUAUUUCAGCAUAUAUUUUCAGCUAAUACAAAUACACCUGGUUAUUUCAAAAUUUUCACUUUUAAGCAAUUAUAACCUGAGCAAAAAUUAUCUUUUCAGCAAUUAUCUUCAGGCUUCAGCUGAAACAAACAGGCCCGAUGUGGACCAUUAGAAUUCAAUAGCAGAUUUCGAGCAUGCAUUCUAACUAUAACCAUUUGAUUGUUUUGACAAAUUAAACACCAAAGGAUCUUCAGUUGAAGAUAUAAAAAGUAAGAAAUCAUAAAUAUUAUACAAAAAAAAAAGCAGCCAAGCUCAGGCAUGUACCUCCUGCAGCAUUCCAACAGAUUCUGCACUAUCAGCUUUCUGGCAUCUUUUCACCCAGGACUGCAAAGAGUUUUGCGACCAGUAAGAGCUUAAGUAGCACUGCAUUAUCACCUGUCAAGGUAAAUAGUAGUGUUUCCUAUAUUAACUAGAAAAUUAUAAUUUGAAGAGAAAAGAAAAAGUAAGCACAAAAUAAGACCACUGUCAAAUUCAAGAUAAUAACUUCAUGAGAACAGGCUAUUACAACUAACAUAAAAUUUGUUAAAAAUAUCCGAGAUAGGACUCAAAAUUUACCUGUACAUAGCAAUCAAAAAGACAAAAGUCAACAAAUUUGAUCGUAAAACACUGAAUGCCACUUUGGUGAUAAAACAUCUUCAUAUCUAUUCCAUUAAAAUAGUGAGUACAUUUGGACUUUCCUGAUCACAACCAUGUUGUGUAUAAAGUACUCCCCCCCUCUUGCACUGAAUGUCAGAAGUGAUUUUUAUUUAUGAGGUGAAAAUGAUAGCAAAAUAACUCUAAAUGACUCAAUGAUAUUUUUCAUAAUAAUUGAAUUGUUCCCAAAACCUUUUAUGGUCAAAAUUCAAUCAAUUGGGGUGGGGGAAAUACAAUCAUUUAAAGUGAAUUUUGCAAUCAUUUACCGGAAAAGCUCCAACUGUGACAUUCAUUACUUGACAAAUAUUAUAUACACAAAUAGGCUUUUAUCAUGACCAAGGAUUACCUAUAGACUCGGUAACAUCCAAAAUAAGUAUGACUAAAUUUGAAUUUUCAGUGCAAGUAACUUUACACAACUAUGAGGAUUAGUGAACAUCAAAGUUCAAAACCUAUGACAGACAGGAGAUGAUGUUUCAGUAAACAAUAAAAACUUGUAUUCAACCUCUUACUAAGAACAAUAUUCUAAUCUUUGCUUUCAGCUUAUAAUUCAAAAUCUAAUGCAUGCAAAUCAAUAAAUCACUACAAUCUCUAUUCAAAGCUGCUAUUGCCCAGGUAAUUGUAACAUGCUUGGGCUGUGAAGCGUUAGAAAGAAAGUUUUUCUUUAAAAGGGUUGUUUUUGCAAAAAUUAGGGUUGUACAAUCAAGCCCUCGCAGCAACUUUUCCAUGAGUACCAAUACUAUGUAAUGAACUCUAUAGCCUUCCCAAAGAUAUACCUAAGGAGCCACCUUCAAUACUCAGUCUCUACAAAAGAUUUGUAAAUGAACACAGGAAUCUAAAUUAAAUUAUGGAUUAACAGACAACCAACCCAUAUAAGCUAUUAAUCAGGACGAAGUUCUACAAAAUGAGAAUUUAUACUAUCAGGUAAUUUCCAAAUAAGGAUACCUGGGAUAACACCAAAAUCUAAUUUGACUUGGGUAGAAUUACUCUCCAGCUAAAAGAUAAGUAAUAUUUAUCACUAUGUCCAACUAAGAAUAAUAUUCAAAUGCAAAUAUAUACUAAAAGGUUCAUCAUAAUUAACUAUAUUAGACUUUUAAAUCACCAUACCCUGAAACUUACCUGGAAAAAAGAAACCUACAAAGCAUGGUGAUGGGAAAAUAUGAAAAUAAAUAACCAAAUCUUUGUAUUUCACUUUUAUCUACAAGGGAGGGAGUUUACAUUCUGAAGUUUCAAAAGCAGACUUCCAAUAUCAGAGUAAUCUUU